rnacentral:rRNA from 1 species
UAUCUCUGUAGAGUCUGCAUAUCAAUAAGCGGAGGAAAAGAAACUAACUAGGAUUCCCUCAGUAACGGCGAGUGAAGCGGGAAGAGCUCAAAUUUGAAAUCUUCAAGGUUCUACCUUGACGAAUUGUAGUUUAAAGAAGUGUUUUCUGUUGGAGUUUUGGUAAAAGUUCUUUGGAAUAGGACAUCAUAGAGGGUGAGAAUCCCGUAUUUGACCAUUAUUUCCAGCUUUGUGAUACACUUUCAAAGAGUCGGAUUGUUUGGGAAUGCAGUCCAAAAUGGGUGGUAAAUUUCAUCUAAAGCUAAAUAUUGGCGAGAGACCGAUAGCGAACAAGUACCGUGAGGGAAAGAUGAAAAGAACUUUGAAAAGAGAGUUAAACAGUACGUGAAAUUGUCAAAAGGGAAGCGUUUGACACCAGUGUUGUUUUCUCGAAAAUCAAUUAAAAAAGUCAGGAUUUUGUAUUGUAAUUGACCUUUAUCAGCUUUACUGCUACUCUUUUCUUGUCUUUUUUUAGUGCACUUUUCGUUUAACAAGUCAACAUCAAUUUCUUUUGUUGUAAAAGAGUCAUUGGAAGGUGGCUUUCACUUUCGGUGAAAGUGUUUAUAGCCUUUGGCCUCUGCAAUCGGAGAGAUUGAGGUCUGCAGCGUAGAUCCUUCGGGGUUAGAUACAGUUAGAUGCUAAGUUAUAGCCUUUUCAUAGACAACUUGUUGACUAUAAUCAGUCAUGUAGCUUACUCGCUUAUGCGCUAUUUUACCUACGCUUAGGAUGUUGAUAGUCACAGCGUGUAC